GAUGAACGCUAGCUACAGGCUUAACACAUGCAAGUCGAGGGGAAACGAUAUUGGAAGCUUGCUUCUGAUAGGCGUCGACCGGCGCACGGGUGAGUAACGCGUAUCCAACCUGCCCAUCACUUGGGGAUAACCUUGCGAAAGUAAGACUAAUACCCAAUGACGUCUCUAGAAGACAUCUGAAAGAGAUUAAAGAUUUAUCGGUGAUGGAUGGGGAUGCGUCUGAUUAGCUUGUUGGCGGGGUAACGGCCCACCAAGGCGACGAUCAGUAGGGGUUCUGAGAGGAAGGUCCCCCACAUUGGAACUGAGACACGGUCCAAACUCCUACGGGAGGCAGCAGUGAGGAAUAUUGGUCAAUGGGCGAGAGCCUGAACCAGCCAAGUAGCGUGCAGGAUGACGGCCCUAUGGGUUGUAAACUGCUUUUAUAAGGGAAUAAAGUGGGAGUCGUGACUCUUUUUGCAUGUACCUUAUGAAUAAGGACCGGCUAAUUCCGUGCCAGCAG
rnacentral:rRNA from 1 species